rnacentral:rRNA from 1 species
UACAGAGGCCUCAAGCGUUGUUCGGAUUCAUUGGGCGUAAAGGGCGCGCAGGCGGCGCAUUUUGUCAGGCGUGAAAGCCCCGGGCUUAACCUGGGAACUGCGUUUGAUACGGAUGGGCUAGAGUUCGGGAGAGGAGAGUGGAAUUCCCAGUGUAGAGGUGAAAUUCGUAGAUAUUGGGAAGAACACCGGUGGCGAAGGCGGCUCUCUGGACCGAGACUGACGCUGAGGCACGAAGGCCAGGGGAGCAAACGGG